GCAGGUUGGAGGAACUUUCUUGUCGCAAGCCCAGGUUUCAACUUGCCAGGAAGGCACCUGCCAGCAGCCGAAUUCGCAAGCGCCCUUGAAACGUGGAAAAAGGGGUGUCGCUUCUCGUAACGCUGUCAGAAGGGGGAGAAAGAGAGGAUUCGGCAAGUUUGGAAAAAGGAUGUCUAAGCAAAGAAAAAAGCACUAAACGCCAAUACGGAAAAUUCUUUCUCUGACAGCUUUUAUCAAGGCUGUCUCUUGCAAAAGACUGGUGGCCGUGGAGAAAGGAGUGAAAGUGUAUUCUUUCUGUGUCAUGUCAGUAAAAGAUGACACCACUACA